GUGGCCUACGGGGCGCAGCAGUGGGGAAUAUUGGGCAAUGGGCGCAAGCCUGACCCAGCAACGCCGCGUGAAGGAAGAAGGCUUUCGGGUUGUAAACUUCUUUUGUCAGGGACGAAGCAAGUGACGGUACCUGACGAAUAAGCCACGGCUAACUACGUGCCAGCAGCCGCGGUAAUACGUAGGGGGCAAGCGUUAUCCGGAUUUACUGGGUGUAAAGGGAGCGUAGACGGCAUUGCAAGUCCGGAGUGAAAGCCCACGGCCCAACCGUGGGACUGCUCUGGAAACUGUAGAGCUGGAGUGCGGGG
rnacentral:rRNA from 1 species